rnacentral:lncRNA from 1 species
AUAGCUCCUUGUUCCAGCAGUACUGAAUUAAUUCUGCUCCUUCUUUUUCCCAGCCAAGGAGGCCCCUGCAGUCUGGAGGACAAGGACCAGUGUGGAUUAAAUGGUCCUGCUUACAGGAGAAAUGCCACCUCCAUUUCUUCAGAUGGGAGAAACUUGCUAGUCCAACAGCACAGAAUCUUAGAAUUAAAAAACCCAACACACUUAUGUAAGUACAGAGAGAGUGUUUGUCAAUGCUACUCAGAGAAUAUGAACUUCCAUGAUUGCCCAUCUCGACAAACAUACUCAAUCCAUUUUUUGAACUAAGCAUUAGGCAGUCACUGGUUUUCUUUCCAGCAAAAACUAGAAGAUGCUAGAUGAAGUCUGAAGACUAUAGAAAAAUUUGGAAAUUUAAUAUUUGGAAUUACUUUUGAUUUCAAUAGAUUAAAAUCCUAAGAAAUAGGCAAUGGCUGUGGUUCCACUAGAGGUUUC